UACAGAGGGGGCAAGCGUUGUUCGGAAUUACUGGGCGUAAAGGGCGCGUAGGCGGCCUUCUAAGUCGAACGUGAAAUCCCCGGGCUCAACCCGGGAACUGCGUCCGAUACUGGGAGGCUUGAAUCCGGGAGAGGGAUGUGGAAUUCCAGGUGUAGCGGUGAAAUGCGUAGAUAUCUGGAGGAACAUCGGUGGCGAAGGCGGCAUCCUGGACCGGUAUUGACGCUGAGGCGCGAAAGCCAGGGGAGCAAACGGGAUUAGAAACCCGAGUAGUCC
rnacentral:rRNA from 1 species